UGAUUUAUAUUCCUAGGCUUACCAGAAU
rnacentral:piRNA from 1 species